rnacentral:rRNA from 1 species
GUGCCAGCAGCCGCGGUAAUACAGAGGUCUCAAGCGUUGUUCGGAUUCAUUGGGCGUAAAGGGUGCGUAGGUGGUGCCGUAAGUCGGGUGUGAAAUCUCGGGGCUUAACUCCGAAACUGCAUUCGAUACUGCCGUGCUUGAGGACUGGAGAGGAGACUGGAAUUUACGGUGUAGCGGUGAAAUGCGUAGAUAUCGUAAGGAAGACCAGUGGCGAAGGCGGGUCUCUGGACAGUUCCUGACGCUGAGGCACGAAGGUCAGGGGAGCAAGCGGGAUUAGAAACCCUGGUAGUCC